CGUAGGGACCGAGCGUUGUCCGGAUUCAUUGGGCGUAAAGAGCUCGUAGGCGGCUGCUCAAGUCGAAUGUGAAAACUCGAGGCUCAACCUCGAGCCUGCAUUCGAUACUGGGCGGCUAGAGUCUGGUAGGGGGAUCUGGAAUUCCUGGUGUAGCGGUGGAAUGCGCAGAUAUCAGGAGGAACACCGGUGGCGAAGGCGGGAUCCUGGGCCAGUACUGACGCUGAGGAGCGAAAGCGUGGGGAGCAAACAGGAUUAGAUACCCUGGUAGUCCACGCCGUAAACGAUGGGCGCUAGGUGUGGGAGGUCAUCGACUCCUUCCGUGCCGCAGCUAACGCAUUAAGCGCCCCGCCUGGGGGAUACGGCCGCAAGGCUA
rnacentral:rRNA from 1 species